ensembl:lncRNA LINC00970 long intergenic non-protein coding RNA 970
GAGAGAGAACAGGAGAAGAAGGAGGAGGUACAGAAGGACUUGGUGUGCUAUUAUGCACAUUUCACAGAUGGCACAGAGUGGGGAAGUCAGUGACCCAAGGUGGCAAGAUAAGGAGACUGAAGCAUCUAGAGUUGGAGUAAUUUCCACAAGAUCACAGGAUUAUUCUAGGCACCUGAAUAGAACAGCCAGCCAGGAUGGCUUGUUCCUGCUCUCCUAUGCUUCUAUCAUUGGCAGUAAACUUGUGCAAACACUGGGAUCCCUGGAUACCAUGAGGCAAGAUUUCACUCUGUCACCCAGACUGGAGUGCAGUGGCACAAACAUAGCUCACUGAAGCCUCAAACUCCUGGGCUCAAGAGAUCCUUCUGCUUCAGCCUCCUGAGUAGCUGGGACUUCAGAAUCCCAGUCCUCUCUCUCUCACUGACCCCGAAGAUAAGCAUUGGAAAGGGGAGCUUUGGGGAAAUGAAUCUGCCCUGUCAUCUGCGUAUAGAGCUAAUCUUAAAUCCCAACUGCCAAAUGGAUCCUGAGGUGUCAGAAACUCUCCCGAGAUAAGGGGGCUUCUAGCAACCAUCUGCAUUCUGGACCCAGGUAUGUUGUGUUUGUAAUCUCAUUCACUCACUCGUUCAUUCUUCCAUGCCUCCCCUGAUCCCCUUCCUGAAGUAAGAGCCUUCUGUUGAUGUCGAUGAAA